rnacentral:rRNA from 1 species
UACGGAGGGUGCAAGCGUUAUCCGGAUUUAUUGGGUUUAAAGGGUCCGUAGGCGGAUCCGUAAGUCAGUGGUGAAAUCUCAUAGCUUAACUAUGAAACUGCCAUUGAUACUGCGGGUCUUGAGUGAGAUUGAGGUAGCUGGAAUAAGUAGUGUAGCGGUGAAAUGCAUAGAUAUUACUUAGAACACCAAUUGCGAAGGCAGGUUACCAAGUCUUAACUGACGCUGAUGGACGAAAGCGUGGGGAGCGAACAGGAUUAGAUACCCUGGUAGUCCACGCCGUAAACGAUGCUAACUCGUUUUUGGGGCCUUGCGCUUCAGAGACUAAGCGAAAGUGAUAAGUUAGCCACCUGGGGAGUACGUUCGCAAGAAUGAA